CACAAAGGAGAAGAGAUUCCAUGUGUGAGAUUGCAUAAGUCACUUUUCUAUUGUGUGUUCUACAACAUAUAUACCAUGAUGUUUCUAGCUUCUAGUUUAUUUCUAGUUUCUACUUUCUAGUGUCUAGUUUAAUUCUAGUUUCUAGUUUCUAAUGUCCGGAGUAUUUCUAGUUUCUAGUUUAAUUCUAGAUUGAUUCCGCAUAAACUAUAAACAGUGAUUAUAAGGUUGUCAAGGGACCCACAAGAGUAGCUGUAGGAGGUGGAGGUGGAGGGGAUAGGUUCGGUGGUGGAGGUGGACCCAUCCUCUCAAGAACACCCUGCAUAUGCAGAUAAAUCUGCUCCACCCUCUGUCGAUCUGCCUCAAUCCUUGCCUGUAGCUCCUCCCGUCGCUUCCUUUCUUCUUCCACCUGGGCUCACAAUAUUUCAUCCCAAUGUUACAAUGCAAACAAAAUUAUGUAAAAAUCAAGGAACGAUGAAUAAAACAGGAAUAACCUGUAGUGCCUCUAUCUAGAACCAUGCAGUGUUCGACCGUGG
rnacentral:lncRNA from 1 species